rnacentral:rRNA from 1 species
UACGGAGGGUGCGAGCGUUAUUCGGAAUUACUGGGCGUAAAGCGCGAGCAGGCGGCUUUUCAAGUCUGAUGUGAAAGCCCCGGGCUUAACCUGGGAAGAGCAUUGGAAACUGAGAGGCUUGAGUACUGGAGAGGAAGGGGGAAUUCCCGGUGUAGAGGUGAAAUUCGUAGAGAUCGGGAGGAAUACCAGUGGCGAAGGCGCCCUUCUGGACAGUAACUGACGCUGAGACGCGAAAGCGUGGGGAG